rnacentral:rRNA from 1 species
UACGUAGGGGGCGAGCGUUGUCCGGAAUCAUUGGGCGUAAAGAGCGUGUAGGCGGCUUGGCAAGUCUGACGUGAAAGCCCGCGGCUCAACCGCGGAUUGUCGUUGGAAACUGCCUCGCUAGAGUCCGGAUGAGGAGAGCGGAAUUCCUGGUGUAGCGGUGGAAUGCGCAGAUAUCAGGAAGAACACCCGUGGCGAAGGCGGCUCUCUGGGACGGUACUGACGCUGAGACGCGAAAGCGUGGGGAGCGAACAGG